UAUGUAUGUGUGUAUAUAUAUAUAUGUAAAGCUGAAUCACUCUGCUGACACCUGAAAUUGAUAUAACAUUGUAAAUCAACUAUACUUCAAUU